rnacentral:lncRNA from 1 species
AGGAUCUCCCUCUGCACUGGGAGAAAAAGAGAAGUUAGCCUGAUGAAGUUCCUUGAGCAACUUGGAGAGGAUCCUGCAGGAGAGAGGAAAUAGAGGAGCGUUUUCUUUCUGGGCUGGCUGAGGAAAUGCUAUCAUAACUCUUUACCUUCCUCGUCCCCAGCUCUGGCCAGCUGAAGGUGGAGGUGGAGGGAUCCGCUACCACCAUACCGUGGUCUUUUCAGGCCACACGAUCUCCAAGUAGCAAGGGGGAAAGAGAGUGAGCCUGCAUGCCAAUUCUAAGCUCUUCCGGAUCAAAUGUCGUUCGUCCUGUCCAGAAUGGCAGCCUGUGGAGGCUCCUGCAAGAACAAAGUGACAGUCUCCAAGCCUGUGUGGGACUUCCUGAGCAAGGAGACCCCAGCCCGGCUGGCCCGGCUUCGGGAGGAGCACCGAGUGUCCAUCCUCAUAGAUGGCGAGACUUCUGACAUCUAUGUGCUCCAGCUGUCUCCACAGGGUCCUCCCCCGGCCCCCCCCAAUGGGCUCUACCUGGCCAGGAAGGCUCUCAAGGGGCUACUGAAAGAGGCAGAAAAAGAGCUGAAGAAAGCUCAGAGGCAGGGGGAGCUCAUGGGCUGCCUGGCUUUGGGGG